rnacentral:lncRNA from 1 species
AGUUCUUGUUCAUAAACUCUAGCCAACAUAUUCUUUGUUACCAUUUCGUUGGUCUUCACCAUACUUAGCUUGAUAUGAACAAGGUUUGAUCCAAAGAUUCCCUAUGAGUUAUUUCUUCAUCUUUUCUAGCUAGCUAGCUAGGGUUUCACUUUUGUUAAAACCCUAUAUUCUCUUCUUCUGUUCUUGAUCAAGAGUGAUAGCAGAUCUCAUUGAAAGCACAACAGUCAGUUCUUGCUGAUGCAGCAUGAUCAAGAUUCACAAAAGAUCACAUUUUUAGAGUUUCAUGGUUUUUGAAAAAAUAACUAUUUUUGUCAAGAGAAGAUAAACUAUUUGUGUGUCUUUUUUUUUGCAUAUUCAUGAUUAUUGUUCCAAAUCUAUGGACUCUUUAAUAAUUUGCGAAUCUUGAUGAUGCUGCAGCGGCAAUUGGUGGCUAAUUUCUUUUUAUUAUAUAUUGUUGCCAAUAGUUUUUUUUAAAGGGCCAACGAAUCCUUCAAAUGAACUACUGGCGAAAUUCAUCACAUUGGGAUACACUCGCCUCCGAACCGGGGAAAACCCUCACCUAGGGCCGAAGCCCGUGAACACUCACAUGAAGGCACGACAGUGCGGCAAGGCAAAAUGGAGCACAUUAGUGAUGUAUGUAGCUGUACAAAUAGAAAGGUGAUUUAAAGAAAAUAAACUUAGAUGUAUACAAAAAAAACUAGUGUCUUAUAAAUGGAAAAAAUUCAACCCUUAGUAACCAUUUUUUAGAUACUAACAUUCUUGUAUAUAAAUGAAUUUUGUUGUAUAAAGUUAUUAUAUACAAAGGUUUUAAAGUCAGUAGGUAACUAAAUAAUUUAUUUUUUUAAUGUAAUAUAUUUAAAUAGAAUUUAUUCAAAUAUUGUUUGCAUGUUUUUCAAAAUCCAUACAAAGUUAUUACGUAUAUUAGUUUUUAGUUCAUGAUAAGUUCUUAUUUCACCUUCUUUAUUAAAGUGUAGUUAUUGAAAGUCUUUUUGGCAAGACCUAAUAAUUUUAUUAUGCAUGCAUGUUUAUAUUUUCUAUUUUAGAUGUUAACAAAUUAUCAUUUAUAUUUUAUAGCAAAACGAACAUU